rnacentral:rRNA from 1 species
AAUGAACGUUGGCGGUGUGGAUUAGGCAUGCAAGUCGAGCGGGUGCAGCAAUGCACCAGCGGCGGAAGGGUGCGUAAGGCGACGGCAACCAACCCCGAGGAUGGGUAUAGCCGCGGGAAACUGCGGGUAAUCCCCAGCGAUGCGAGGGCGUCGGCAUCGACGCCUCGCCAAAGGAUCCGUCCGCCUCGGGACGGGCCGUCGUGGUAUUAGGUCGUUGGCGGGGUAGCGGCCCACCAAGCCUUCGAUGCCUACCGGGCGUGCGAGCGCGGCCCGGCACACUGGGACUGAGACACUGCCCAGACUCUUACGGGAGGCUGCAGUCGAGAAUCUUCGGCAAUGGGCGCAAGCCUGACCGAGCGACGCCGCGUGGAGGACGAAGGCCUUCGGGUUGUAAACUCCUGUCGAGGGGGAGAAAGGCUCCGCAAGGGGCUUGAUCGAUCCCUGGAGGAAGCACGGGCUAAGUUCGUGCCAGCAGCCGCAGUAAGAC